CCUACGGGUGGCUGCAGUGAGGAAUAUUGGUCAAUGGGCGCAAGCCUGAACCAGCCAAGUCGCGUGAGGGAAGACGGCCCUACGGGUUGUAAACCUCUUUUGCCGGGGAGCAAGCCUGAGCACGUGUGCCCAGGCGGAGAGUACCCGGAGAAAAAGCAUCGGCUAACUCCGUGCCAGCAGCCGCGGUAAUACGGAGGAUGCGAGCGUUAUCCGGAGUUAUUGGGUUUAAAGGGUGCGCAGGCGGCCUGUGAAGUCAGCGGUAAAAGCCCGGGGCUCAACCCCGGCGAGCCGUUGAAACUGGCGGGCUGGAGUUGGAGAGAAGUACGCGGAAUGCGCGGUGUAGCGGUGAAAUGCUUAGAUAUCGCGCAGAACCCCGAUUGCGAAGGCAGCGUACCGGCUCCACACUGACGCUGAGGCACGAAAGCGUGGGUAUCGAACAGGAUUAGAUACCCCUGUAGUC
rnacentral:rRNA from 1 species